rnacentral:lncRNA from 1 species
AUUAAUAUAAAAUAGGCAUAAAUUUAUCGAAAACCACUAUGGAAUUGAAGUAAAAUUUACUAUAAAAUAAACAUAAUCCACAUUAAAAAUGUAAUCCACUAUUAAAUUAGUGUAAUCCACUGUUACAUAAGUGUAAUCCAGUAUAUGUUCAUCCAAAACCACUAUUAAUAAAUGUUCAUCCAAAACCACUAUUAAUAAAUGUUCAUCCAAAACCACUAUUAACAAAUGUAUACAAACAAAUUCGGCAUCACUUCGGUUGCUCAAGAACCUGAACCAAAAAGAAAAAAAAGGUAACAAAUUGUCAGUCUAAUUAGUGUAAUCCACUAAUGGCACACUCUCAAACCAUAACAUAUAAAAAACGUAAUCCACUAUUUCAAAUAACCUUCGUGGGCCAACCCUAUGAAUUCUCAAGAAACUCAAGAAUAUAAGAAAAAAAAAAUACACAAGCCAAAGAAAAUGGUUGCCGCACCCUCUUUGCGCUGCCGCCAAAGGCCAAACCCUUCAAUUCACACACAUUCAGCCACCAAAAUUCACACAUAAUUCCCCCAAAAUUCACACAAAUUAAAGAUACGUACAUUUUACGAAGCUAAUUGAUUCCAAUUGACACGAGCAAC